rnacentral:rRNA from 1 species
GAUGAAAGAUGAAAGAAGGAGGAACACAGGCAAGUCUACUUGAACUUCGGUUUGGGUGGCGGACGGGUGAGUCACGCGUAAAGAACUUGCCUCACAGAUAGGGACAACAUUUGGAAACGAAUGCUAAUACCUGAUAUUAUGAUUUUAGGGCAUCCUAGAAUUAUGAAAGCUAUAUGCACUGUGAGAGAGCUUUGCGUCCCAUUAGCUAGUUGGAGAGGUAACGGCUCACCAAGGCGAUGAUGGGUAGCCGGCCUGAGAGGGUGAGCGGCCACAAGGGGACUGAGACACGGCCCGUACUCCUACGGGAGGCAACAGUGGGGAAUAUUGGACAAUGGACCAAGAGUCUGAUCCAGCAAUUCUGUGUGCACGAUGAAGUUUUUCGGAAUGUAAAGUGCUUUCAGUUGGGAAGAAAAAAAUGACGGUACCAACAGAAGAAGGGACGGCUAAAUACGUG